GGCGAGUGAAGCGGCAAAAGCUCAAAUUUGAAAUCUGGUACCUUCGGUGCCCGAGUUGUAAUUUGGAGAGGGCAACUUUGGGGCCGUUCCUUGUCUAUGUUCCUUGGAACAGGACGUCAUAGAGGGUGAGAAUCCCGUGUGGCGAGGAGUGCGGUUCUUUGUAAAGUGCCUUCGAAGAGUCGAGUUGUUUGGGAAUGCAGCUCUAAGUGGGUGGUAAAUUCCAUCUAAAGCUAAAUAUUGGCGAGAGACCGAUAGCGAACAAGUACAGUGAUGGAAAGAUGAAAAGAACUUUGAAAAGAGAGUGAAAAAGUACGUGAAAUUGUUGAAAGGGAAGGGCAUUUGAUCAGACAUGGUGUUUUGUGCCCUCUGCUCCUUGUGGGUAGGGGAAUCUCGCAUUUCACUGGGCCAGCAUCAGUUUUGGUGGCAGGAUAAAUCCAUAGGAAUGUAGCUUGCCUCGGUAAGUAUUAUAGCCUGUGGGAAUACUGCCAGCUGGGACUGAGGACUGCGACGUAAGUCAAGGAUGCUGGCAUAAUGGUUAUAUGCCGCCCG
rnacentral:rRNA from 1 species